GUUUUAAUCCUUCUUCUCUGGGGACUGGCAGCCCUUCUAACAGCUGUGGGGUGUUACCAUAACCUCAGCCCUCUCCAUCUCUGUCUGACAGAUGGCUGGACACACCUUCUUUGAAGAAAGCCACUCUUACUGGGAAGGCACAAAAAGUUCACAGUCAAGAUGAAGUUAUUUUUGAGGAUACAAAGAGCUGUAAUGGGUUAUGGCUAAGGGGAAG
rnacentral:lncRNA from 1 species